rnacentral:rRNA from 1 species
GACGAACGCUGGCGGCGUGCUUAACACAUGCAAGUCGAACGGAAAGGCCCUGCUCUUGUGGGGUGCACGAGUGGCGCACGGGUGAGUAACACGUGAGUAACCUGCCCUUGACUUUGGGAUAACUUCAGGAAACUGGGGCUAAUACCGGAUAGGAGCUCCUGCUGCAUGGUGGGGGUUGGAAAGUUUCGGCGGUUGGGGAUGGACUCGCGGCUUAUCAGCUUGUUGGUGGGGUAGUGGCUUACAAAGGCUUUGACGGGUAGCCGGCCUGAGAGGGUGACCGGCCACAUUGGGACUGAGAUACGGCCCAGACGCCUACGGGGGGCAGCAGUGGGGAAUAUUGCACAAUGGGCGGAAGCCUGAUGCAACAACGCCGCGUGCGGGAUGACGUCCUUCGGGUUGUAAACCGCUUUCGCCUGUGACGAAGCGUGAGUGACGGUAAUGGGUAAGGAAGCACCGGCUAACUACGUG